GACGAGGGGGGGGGGUUCGACGAGGCCCAACCUCCCACCCGUGUUUACUGUUACCGCGUUGCCUCGGCGGGCCCACUGGGGCCUGGCCCCGGUCGCCGGGGGGCUUCUGCCCCCGGGCCCGCGCCCGCCGAAGCACCCUAGAACCCUGCCUGAACAGUGAGUCUGAGUGAGAUUUUAAAUCAUUAAAACUUUCAACAACGGAUCUCUUGGUUCCGGCAUCGAUGAAGAACGCAGCGAAAUGCGAUAAGUAAUGUGAAUUGCAGAAUUCCGUGAAUCAUCGAAUCUUUGAACGCACAUUGCGCCCCCUGGCAUUCCGGGGGGCAUGCCUGUCCGAGCGUCAUUUCUGCCCUCCAGCACGGCUGGGUGUUGGGCGCUGUCCCCCCGGGGACACGCCCCAAAAGCAGUGGCGGCGCCGCGUCGGGUCCUCGAGCGUAUGGGGCUCUGUCACCCGCUCGGGAGGGACUCGGUCGGCGCCGGUCUUCCCUUUAGGCCGCCCUUCGGGGUGCGCCUCUUCCGGUUGACCUCGGAUCAGGUAGGGCUACCCGCUGAACUUAAGCAUAUCAAUAAGGCGGGAGGAAC
rnacentral:rRNA from 1 species